UACAGAGACCCCGAACGUUAUCCGGAUUUAUUGGGCGUAAAGAGCGAUUAGGUGGCUUUGUAAGUCAUUUGUUAAAUCUUCAGGCUUAACCUGGAGGCUGCAGGUGAUACUGUAAGGCUUGAGAGCGGAAGAGGCACAUGGAAUGCCCGGUGUAGCGGUAAAAUGCGUUAAUAUCGGGUAGAACACCAAAGGCGAAAGCAAUGUGCUGGUACGUUUCUGACACUGAUUCACGAAAGCGUGGGUAGCGAAAGGG
rnacentral:rRNA from 1 species